UGCUUAUGACUCCCCAAUGCACGAAGAAUCCACUGCAAGAGAGAGGAAUGCUUAGAUACAUUUCGGCAUUGUGCUGAAACCUAAUGCUGCAAACAGCCUGCUGAGGAUGAGUAUCUUCAUCGUAUCAGCCUUCUUCCAUGAUUCACUUGCCCAAGAACACUUUCUUUCCUUCAAUGCUGAUUACACAAAACUAUUGAAAAAUAUGAAAAAGUUGUGUAUUUGUAAUGUUUAUGUUAAAAUAAUCUCAAUGCAUGAAUUCAUUGUGUCUUUUGUUCACAAUUUCCUCUUUCUGUUUUAUUUUAUUUCUUAUAUUGGAGCAGGAAAUGAACAUUCCUCUUAUCUGAAAAGACUUGGGAUAAAUUCAAGUAUGGUAAUAGUAAGACAGAGAGUUUUGAAGACUCAGGAAUAUUCUUGUCAAAAAUGAUGCAACAAUUUCUGAAAAAACAUUUCCAUAUUUUCAAGACAACACUUUCUGGAUAACUGAUAUUUUACUUGCCAUUAUCAGUUGGAAAGGAAUUAUUUUUUCCACAUUAACCUUUUAAACAGUUGCACUGGAUUUAUCUUAAGCCAAACAGCUUUGUAGUGCUGAUAAAUAUAUAUUAUUGCAGCUCCCUUAAAUACUUAAAUUCAUGAGAAUUUUACCAGACAAUUCAUGAUGAGGGUACUUGUUUUUCUUGUCCAUUGGCUCAUCAGUUGAUCAAAUAUUACUUAUUCCUUUAUCUUUUGAAGCCAAUACAAAAUUUGCAAUUGAGUAAGUAAAUCUUUCUAAGUAGGUUUCUCUGAAUAUAAUAUCUCCUAUUUAUUUCCAUGGAAACUACAACACAUAGAGCACAAUAACACUAUUCGAUGGAGCAAAUUCUCAGCUAUAAAACACUGUUUUUCAGCGUAGUCACCACUAUUAGCUCUGCAUUUUCACCAGCAAUGAACAAGAACCUGUGUGCAACACGCGUAAAAAUCUGAGCCAAUGAAGGUAACCCACUGCUGCUGUCACUACUGCUGAAACGUAACACACACCACCCCACUGUGCUCCAAUCCACUGUUUGGUUUUCAGAAACAUUCAGCAAGCAUUGAAGAAUGUCAAUGGAUGCAUUUUUUUCCACAUGGGGAAAUUCAGUUCCACAUCUUUGCUUCAUCUGCAUUUCCAUAUCAGACAUCAUUUUGUCAGAUUGCCUCUCUGCUGCUAUCUGUCAUAAAGCAUCACAAUGUGAUGGAAUACUGGUGAGAAGGUUCAGCCUUUACUGCUAUACCACCAACAUCUGCCCCUGAUGUCAUGGGCCAAGAUAAUGAAUUAGGAGGCACUACUUUCAGAGCAGUCCUUAUAAAUGCAACAGCAUAAUUUAAAUAUCUUCAUGUUAUUGAUUAACUGCUAAUUCUAAAAUAAUAGAAAAUGAAUAAUUUCUACAAUAAAAAAAUGAAAAACUAUUUUCA
rnacentral:lncRNA from 1 species